rnacentral:rRNA from 1 species
UACGUAGGUGGCGAGCGUUGUCCGGAUUUACUGGGCGUAAAGGGGGCGUAGGCGGAUUUUUAAGUGAGAUGUGAAAUACUCGGGCUCAACUUGAGUGCUGCAUUUCAAACUGGAAGUCUAGAGUGCAGGAGAGGAGAAUGGAAUUCCUAGUGUAGCGGUGAAAUGCGUAGAGAUUAGGAAGAACACCAGUGGCGAAGGCGAUUCUCUGGACUGUAACUGACGCUGAGGCUCGAAAGCGUGGGGAGCAAACAGG